GACGAACGCUGGCGGCGUGCCUAAUACAUGCAAGUCGAGCGGACUUUCAAGAAGCUUGCUUUUUGAAAGUUAGCGGCGGACGGGUGAGUAACACGUGGGCAACCUGCCUGCAAGACGGGGAUAACUCCGGGAAACCGGGGCUAAUACCGGAUAAUAUCUUCCUUCGCAUGAAGGAAGGUUGAAAGGCGGCGCAAGCUGCCGCUUGCAGAUGGGCCCGCGGCGCAUUAGCUAGUUGGUGAGGUAACGGCUCACCAAGGCGACGAUGCGUAGCCGACCUGAGAGGGUGAUCGGCCACACUGGGGCUGAGACACGGCCCAGACUCCUACGGGAGGCAGCAGUAGGGAAUCUUCCGCAAUGGACGAAAGUCUGACGGAGCAACGCCGCGUGAGCGAAGAAGGUCUUCGGAUCGUAAAGCUCUGUUGUCAGGGAAGAACAAGUACCGUUCGAACAGGGCGGUACCUUGACGGUACCUGACCAGAAAGCCACGGCUAACUACGUG
rnacentral:rRNA from 1 species